rnacentral:SRP_RNA from 1 species
GCCGGGCGCGGUGGCGCGCGCCUGUAAUCCCAGCUACUCGGGAGGCUGAGGCUGGAGGAUCGCUUGAGCUCAGGAGUUCUGGGCUGCAGUGCGCUAUGCCGAUCGGGUGUCCGCACUGAGUUCGGCAUCAAUAUGGUGACCUCCCGGGAGCGGGGGACCACCAGGUUGCCUAAGGAGGGGUGAACCGGCCCAGGUCGGAAACGGAGCAGGUCAAAACUCCCGUGCUGAUCAGUAGUGGGAUCGCGCCUGUGAAUAGCCACUGUACUCCAGCCUGGGCAACAUAGCGAGACCCUGUCUCUAACAAAAAAAAAAAAGAAAA